GGAGGGGUCGCAUAGUGGCCUAGUGCACCGUCUUGGAAAGGCGGCAUAUCGUAAGAUAUCGAGAGUUCGAAUCUCUCCCCCUCCGCCA
rnacentral:tRNA from 1 species